UUGAACGCUGGCGGCCGGCCUCACCCCUGCCAGUCGAGCGGAUGAAGGGAGCUUGCUCCUGGAUUCAGCGGCGGACGGGUGAGUAAUGCCUAGGAAUCUGCCUGGUAGUGGGGGAUAACGUCCGGAAACGGGCGCUAAUACCGCAUACGUCCUGAGGGAGAAAGUGGGGGAUCUUCGGACCUCACGCUAUCAGAUGAGCCUAGGUCGGAUUAGCUAGUUGGUGGGGUAAAGGCCUACCAAGGCGACGAUCCGUAACUGGUCUGAGAGGAUGAUCAGUCACACUGGAACUGAGACACGGUCCAGACUCCUACGGGAGGCAGCAGUGGGGAAUAUUGGACAAUGGGCGAAAGCCUGAUCCAGCCAUGCCGCGUGUGUGAAGAAGGUCUUCGGAUUGUAAAGCACUUUAAGUUGGGAGGAAGGGCAGUAAGUUAAUACCUUGCUGUUUUGACGUUACCAACAGAAUAAGCACCGGCUAACUUCGUG
rnacentral:rRNA from 1 species